rnacentral:rRNA from 1 species
GCGGUGGAGUAUGUGGUUUAAUUCGAUGCAACGCGAAGAACCUUACCUGGUCUUGACAUCCCGGAGACCCUUAGGAACUAGGGGUGCUUCCAUCUGGAAGAAUCUGGAGACAGGUGCUGCAUGGCUGUCGUCAGCUCGUGUCGUGAGAUGUUGGGUUAAGUCCCGCAACGAGCGCAACCCUUGCCUUUAGUUGCCAGCAGUUCGGCUGGGCACUCUAAAGGGACUGCCGGUGUUAAACCGGAGGAAGGUGGGGAUGACGUCAAGUCCUCAUGACCUUUAUGACCAGGGCUACACACGUACUACAAUGGCCGAUACAAAGGGCAGCGACACUGCGAGGUGAAGCCAAUCCCGUAAAAUCGGUCUCAGUCCGGAUUGGAGUCUGCAACUCGACUCCAUGAAGUUGGAAUCGCUAGUAAUCGUGGAUCAGCAUGCCACGGUGAAUACGUUCCCGGGCCUU